GCGUCCUUAGUGUAGUGGUAACACAGUCCCCCAACCUUCCUUUGGAAUUCCCAGGACAUCCGUGGUUCGAUUCCCCGAGGACGCC